rfam:Triticum aestivum genome assembly, contig: Triticum_aestivum_CS42_TGACv1_scaffold_289136_4AL
GGGUCCAUAGCUGAGUGGUAGAGCAAUUGACUGCAGAUCAAUAGAUCACCGGUUUGAACCUGGCUGGGCCCU